rnacentral:lncRNA from 1 species
AAUUCACAUCGAAUUUGUAAAGAUUCUUUAAAUUAUUUUUGUAUUAAUACGUUUUGUACUAAAUAUAAUUUUUUUGCAUGACUAAAAAUGUAUAUGAAUUUUGUCUUGCUAACUUUUGUAACCAUAUAAGAGCAGUUGAAUCUACACAUUUUACCACUUUACUGUUUGACAAAGAAAUCGAAAAUAUAAAACUUGGGUUAUGAUUAUAGUUAAACAUGUUAAAUAUCAAAACUGAUCCCUAAAGUUCGACGUUAUAAUUGACAACAUAUUUGUGUUGUUGGGUGAUUGAUAUUCAACCAAAAACCUGUAUCAAAAAGGUUACUUAGAGUUCACUCCUACUGGUUGUAGUUGUGGUUAAAGUAGAAUUAAAAUUGAGAAUGGAAAUGAGGAAUGUGUCAAAGUGACAACAACCCGACCAUAGAACAGACAACAACCGAAGGCUUCCAAUCGUUGAAGAGCUAUAUGUCAAAAAUACCUAAAAUAAAUAGCCAAAUUCAUCUAAAGCCAACUUUGCCUGAGGGAGUUGAAACCUUAGUUUCAUAAUAAUUUGAAAACUCCCGCACCCGUAGGCGUCCUUCAACUGGCCCCUAAACAAAUAUGUACACUAGUUAAGUGAUAAUGGACGUCAUACUAAACUCCGAAUUAUACACAAGAAACUUAAAUUAAAAAUAAUACAAGACUAACAAAGGCCAGAGGCUCCUGACUUAGGACAGGCGCAAAAUUACGGCGGGGUUAAACAUAUUGUUUGAGAUCUCAACCCUCCCCAAUACCUCUAGCCAAUAUAGAAAAAAACCGCACAAUAAAACGCACAGUCAAAACUAAUUUUAAGAGAAGUCCAAGUCUUUAAGAUAUAUUAAUACAAAAAAAGAAAGGAAGAAAACAAAAACCUUGUAAGUUCUUUACAUAUCACUUAAAGAUAUAUUGAAUAUAUCCUGUCACUCAAUUACCGACAUAACAUUUUGUUAUAGGAUCUCAUAGAUCCAAGUGAAGUUAAAACUAAUGAUACUACUUAUAUAAGCAUGUUUUGAUCUUUUUUUCUCAAUAUUGACACAGAAGGAAUACUUCAAAAUAGAGCUGUGACAUUGUGAUAAUUUCACCUUACCCACUGUUAACUUUCCAUUCCCCAGUAGAAACACUCCACUCCAUCGUGUGAUAUUGACGUAUCUCAAUUGUAAUUCGAUACGAGCAUACAUAUUUACAUUAUGCGGGUUUCACUGAAAGGGUUAUGCCUUUGACGUUAAAUAUUUUGCAGGAAGGAUUUGAGGGAAAACAGUACCUGGAGCCGCUUACCUUCUCUGACCACCCGAUCUCGAUUUUUAAAGUUGCAUGUAAAAUAAAUUUUAUUGGUUUUUUUUUUCUAAAUGGAUUCACUAUAUUAGAUCAUCGCUAAUUUACAUCUGUCUUUAAAAUUCCAAUAAUAAAUCACUAAGUUUAUGCAAAGAAUUUUAAAAAA